rnacentral:rRNA from 1 species
UGGGGAAUAUUGGACAAUGGGCGCAAGCCUGAUCCAGCCAUGCCGCGUGAGUGACGAAGGCCUUAGGGUUGUAAAGCUCUUUUGGCGGGGACGAUAAUGACGGUACCCGCAGAAUAAGCCCCGGCUAACUUCGUGCCAGCAGCCGCGGUAAUACGAAGGGGGCUAGCGUUGUUCGGAAUUACUGGGCGUAAAGCGCACGUAGGCGGACUUUUAAGUCGGGGGUGAAAUCCCGAGGCUCAACCUCGGAACUGCCUUCGAUACUGGAAGUCUUGAGUCCGGGAGAGGUGAGUGGAACUCCGAGUGUAGAGGUGAAAUUCGUAGAUAUUCGGAAGAACACCAGUGGCGAAGGCGGCUCACUGGCCCGGUACUGACGCUGAGAUACGAAAGCGUGGGGAGCAAACAGGAUUAGAUACCCUAGUAGUCCCUGAGCGGGCUGGCAAGGCGCAU